rnacentral:rRNA from 1 species
AUUGAACGCUGGCGGCAUGCCUUACACAUGCAAGUCGAACGGUAACAGGUUAAGCUGACGAGUGGCGAACGGGUGAGUAAUACAUCGGAACGUGCCCAGUAGUGGGGGAUAGCCCGGCGAAAGCCGGAUUAAUACCGCAUACGACCUAAGGGUGAAAGGGGGGGAUCGCAAGACCUCUCGCUAUUGGAGCGGCCGAUGUCAGAUUAGCUAGUUGGUGGGGUAAAAGCUCACCAAGGCGACGAUCUGUAGCUGGUCUGAGAGGGCGACCAGCCACACUGGGACUGAGACACGGCCCAGACUCCUACGGGAGGCAGCAGUGGGGAAUUUUGGACAAUGGGCGCAAGCCUGAUCCAGCCAUGCCGCGUGCGGGAAGAAGGCCUUCGGGUUGUAAACCGCUUUUGUCAGGGAAGAAAUCCUUUGGGUUAAUACCUCGGGGGGAUGACGGUACCUGAAGAAUAAGCACCGGCUAACUACGUG